AUACGGAGGAUCCGAGCGUUAUCCGGAUUUAUUGGGUUUAAAGGGUGCGUAGGUGGUUUGAUAAGUCAGCGGUGAAAGUUUGCAGCUUAACUGUAAAAAUGCCGUUGAAACUGUCGGACUUGAGUGUAAAUGAGGUAGGCGGAAUGCGUGGUGUAGCGGUGAAAUGCAUAGAUAUCACGCAGAACUCCGAUUGCGAAGGCAGCUUACUAAGCUACAACUGACACUGAAGCACGAAAGCGUGGGGAUCAAACAGGAUUAGAUACCCUGGUAGUCCACGCAGUAAACGAUGAUUACUAGCUGUUUGCGAUACACAGUAAGCGGCACAGCGAAAGCGUUAAGUAAUCCACCUGUGGAGUACGCCGGCAACGGUGAAACUCAAAGGAAUUGACGGGG
rnacentral:rRNA from 1 species